UACGUAGGGUGCGAGCGUUGUCCGGAUUUAUUGGGCGUAAAGAGCUCGUAGGCGGUCUGUCGCGUCGAUCGUGAAAACUUGGGGCUUAACCCUGAGCUUGCGGUCGAUACGGGCAUGACUGUAGUUCGGCAGGGGAGACUGGAAUUCCUGGUGUAGCGGUGAAAUGCGCAGAUAUCAGGAGGAACACCGGUGGCGAAGGCGGGUCUCUGGGCCGAUACUGACGCUGAGGAGCGAAAGCGUGGGGAGCAAACAGG
rnacentral:rRNA from 1 species